rnacentral:rRNA from 1 species
AGUGCUGAGUGGAACGAUCUCUUCUGGGCGAUCCACCCUGGUGGCCGUGCGAUUUUGGACCACGUUGAGCAACUGCUCGGGCUGGGCGUCGAGAAGCUGGCCGCGAGCCGACGGGUGCUGAGAGAGUACGGGAACAUGAGUGCCGCCACGGUGAUCUUCGUGCUCGAUGAGCUGCGCCGGCGUAGGGCAAGGGGAGAAGAGGUGGCCGAGUGGGGUGUGAUGAUGGCGUUCGGUCCGGGGAUCACGAUCGAGACCAUGGUGCUGCACGCCGCAGGCAGCCUCAAGGAAAACUAG